AUUGCUUCAGGCUGGAGACUGAAUCCAGUCUCACCUACUCCAUCUUGCUCAGAAGUGGACACCUCUUCAGAAUAUAGUUGUAAAAUAAAACAAGCAAUCAAACUGAUGCCACAUGAAGGAAAAGAAAAAUCUCUUUUUUCUUGGCUUUUCCCAGUCCUGGAGCACCAAUAAUUAGCUUUUCCUUCCUUUAAAAAGCCAUGAAGGGGCUAAGAAGCUAGGAAUAGUACUGAGCUACAGUGAGUACAGAGAAAGGCCUAUACUCUUUCAAGUCUGUAUCACAGGAAACAUUGUGACCUCACAUUCUAAGUCUUGAGAGCACACACAAGCCCGAGGAAUUAAAACAAGGAGAGAGAAAGAGAUUCUGCUCAAAUUCAAAGAAUAACUAAAUAAAUUAACUAGUAAUUGUUAAAAAUUAA